rnacentral:rRNA from 1 species
AUUGAACGCUGGCGGCAUGCCUUACACAUGCAAGUCGAACGGCAGCACGGGAGCAAUCCUGGUGGCGAGUGGCGAACGGGUGAGUAAUAUAUCGGAACGUGCCUAGUCGUGGGGAUAACGUAGCGAAAGCUACGCUAAUACCGCAUACGAUCUAUGGAUGAAAGCGGGGGAUCGCAAGACCUCGCGCGAUUGGAGCGGCCGAUAUCAGAUUAGGUAGUUGGUGAGGUAAAGGCUCACCAAGCCGACGAUCUGUAGCUGGUCUGAGAGGACGACCAGCCACACUGGGACUGAGACACGGCCCAGACUCCUACGGGAGGCAGCAGUGGGGAAUUUUGGGACAAUGGGCGCAAGCCUGAUCCAGCAAUGCCGCGUGCAGGAUG